GACGAACGCUGGCGGCGUGCCUAAUACAUGCAAGUAGAACGCACAGUUUAUACCGUAGCUUGCUACACCAUACACUGUGAGUUGCGAACGGGUGAGUAACGCGUAGGUAACCUGCCUGGUAGCGGGGGAUAACUAUUGGAAACGAUAGCUAAUACCGCAUAAUAUUGAUUAUUGCAUGAUAAUUGAUUGAAAGAUGCUAUUGCAUCACUACCAGAUGGACCUGCGUUGUAUUAGCUAGUAGGUGAGGUAACGGCUCACCUAGGCGACGAUACAUAGCCGACCUGAGAGGGUGAUCGGCCACACUGGGACUGAGACACGGCCCAGACUCCUACGGGAGGCAGCAGUAGGGAAGCUUCGGCAAUGGACGAAAGUCUGACCGAGCAACGCCGCGUGAGUGAAGAAGGGUUUCGGAUCGUAAAGCUCUGUUGUAAGAGAAGAACGGGUGUGAGAGUGGAAAGUUCACACUGUGACGGUAUCUUACCAGAAAGGGACGGCUAACCACGUG
rnacentral:rRNA from 1 species